CGGGAACUGAAGCAGCGGGGCGCUGGGACGGGACGGGACGGGGGGCGCCGCCUGAGGGGAGUGUCCCCGCCCGGCCACUUCCCUGCAUCCCAGUCAGGUGGUGUAAGGGCCUGAACCUGGAUCCCCUGAGAGAUUAUGCGGCACCAAGGAUCCUUCCCCCCAGAAGCUGCUCCGGUGGUUUAAUAUAAUGCAGAGCGGUUGCCUGAAGGGAAAUGCAGCACAGCACACUAAGCAAGAGGGUGUAUGAAUGAUGCACAUGGCCUACCUGUGAAGCACACCUUUACAGGAGGAGAGACCUGCUUGAUGGCUGAAUGAUACACCGCACUGAUCUGCCUUGGAGGGAUUUGUCAGGGAAAUGAUCCGGGGGAGGCAGAGAAGGUUUCAGCCUUUCAGCUCCCAGGACACGGGAAGCCUGCGAUGCUCCUGCUCUCUGAGGUCCAGUCCCCUGUUCAUCGACCAUGAUGGCUCCACAGGCCUAACUGGACUCAGCUGCCCGGCAAGACUUCCCUUCAGGACCUGUAACCAGCAUGACCACAGCGACUCAAAGCUUCUUUUCCAAACCAAGACAGUGCCUAACCUCAAUCAAAGGAAUAACAGCAGAACAAGCAAUGCUCCCCCGGAGCUCAUGCUGUCACCUACUCUUCUGAGCCCUGGGGUUUGGCAUGGUUCCCUUACCCCUGUGUCCCUCUGCCAAGCUCCAGGGCUCACGUUUUUUUCCACUGAUUGCAGUUAUCCUACCUCAGUUCCUCCUUUCCUUUGCCAACUCAGAGCUAUUGAAUCCUGGGGUCAUAAAUUUGGACUGGACUUCAAGGGUCUUCUUGUGCUUAGCAGGGUCAGAGGUACAGUUCAUAGGGACAGUGGCUGGUCUUUGUCCCUUGAUGCAGUGAAGAAUGCAGCUCUCUGAAGCUUAUGGCCUCUCCUACAGUCAGCUUCUGCUGGAUUUAACCCUUAGAAACCCCCCAGCCAAUGCCGCGGUAACAAAGGACUAGCUGAACUGCCAUAAAACACUACAGUUCUCUUCCACAUCCUUCACGAUACACACAAGCCAUCUGCACCGUGCCUGGCAGCCGUGAAAAAUAGCAGGCAAAGAGCUGUGGAGACAGUGCCUGCAGGGAGCCAUUCUCCGGUUCCCAUCGAGUUCAGGAUAUAUGGCAGUGCAGGUAAUCCGGCUGCCCACAUCCUAAAGAGGAGGCUGCUGCAACGAAGCAGGUGCCGUGGAGGGCAAUGAAAAUGAUUGAGGGUUACGUGGGCGUGAGUUAUGGAGUGAAGUCAGCCAGGCUCAGUUACUGCAGCUUCGCAAAGGAAAGGGGGAAGAAAGGAAGAAAGAAAGGGCAGGGAUGGUCUUACACAAAGGAACCCCGAGACUGGAGGUAAUAGGAAGGCAGCCCACCAAGGACCCCGCCUAUGGAGAGCCAACUUAUUCAAACACAAGAGGUGCUUGGUCCGUGCUGGUGAAUGCUGGUGUAUCUGCAGGGGGAAUGCUGGUGUAUUUGCAGAGGUGAAGUGCCCCACACUCUGGGGUGGAGGGCAUGGGUCAUGCUGCAACUGGGACUGGCAACAACCUUCACGGGCUCCCAACGUGGCAGGCAGCAACGGCUGUCAACAAGCCAGUGGUCUUGCAGGCAUUUAGCAUCCAGGGUCUUCAGCUUUGCAGGUAACAGCCUCUGCUUGCUUUUUCUUGGACUGCGCUGGCAGCAUGACAGUCCUGGAUUGCAGAAGUGUCCUGUGCCCUCCAGAGGAUCCAUCACUAAUCCUGUCCCUCAAGGCAUCCAACCAGAUAGCUGCACACCAGGGACUUUACAAGCUAUUUUGGCAAAUCAGCCACUCAGAGACCGAAAUGAGGAGUGAGUUAUAGAAACACUGGCAGAGAAAUUGGCCUGAAUUGAAAAAUUGCUUCUGUUUCGCAGGCAUGUUAUAAAUUCAGGCAGUGACUUGGCUCCCGAUUUUUCUCUUUUGUAAUGAGUUUCACCUAGCUCGGGUCAGGGAUCCAGCCAAGAAUAGAUCCCAAAAGGGCUGGAUCUCGGACCCUUGUUCUCACCACCAGCCUCUCCUAUGUCUCAGUUUAAAGCCCCUCCAUCGUGACGUCAGUGCUGAACCGCUGUGCAGCGCAAAUCUGGCUGGGCUGCUCUCAGAACGUGACAUUUGGCUGUGACAUUUCCCUCCCACUGCAUGUUGUGUCCUGAAAUCCUCCUUCCUUUGACAUCAGUGAUGACACUAGACGCAGGGGCGAAAUGCGGUGACAAAUAUAGCCCCCAUGGGAGAAGUUGCAACAAGGCUGGAAAGUCACUCGUUCCUUUGCUCUGCUUCUGCACCUUUCUCCAUUCAAUUCGAAGGAGGUGAGAACAUUUAGUCUCAUGACAAUACCUGGAAUAGAGACUUCAGCCUGGCGUGCAUGCAGGCAGAGAGGAAGACGAGCCUAAUGCUACUUAUCAGCUGCAGAAUAAAUGGCUUUGCAGAACUGAGCCACCACCAAUCUCGCCCUGACAAGCAGCUUUCUGAGCCUGCCACAUUGGGAUAGCAGAGUAUGGCAAAGCAGUGACUUGGGAACAUGUCUCGAGCCAGCUACAGAUUUCUGUACAUUUAUGACUUUAUUGGUUAAAGCACUGAGUAAACUGACUGGGACAUUGGCUUUUUGCUCUGUCAGUGCCUCUUCUGGGGUCAAAAAGUCUUUCUCAAAAGCAGAGUUCGGGAGCUGCUGCCUUUGGCUUUGGAGGUUUUGAAAGCAUUUCUAUUUUAAAGCCGGAGUUUGGGUUGUGUCUUUCAACCUGGCUUUGGCUGAAGGACAUGACUUGAAAGUUGGUGACUCUGGGCUUGCUGUGAGGCCUCAGCUAUAGCUUGGCUUUGCAGAGCUUCCAGCUGCACGCUUUUCUUUAAAAGCAAUGGCCUAAAAUGAAUUAGUGAUGUUGUGGCUGCCAAACUCAAGAUGCUUCAAAGAGAGCUUGUGCUCAGAACAUGCUGAGCCCCUGGCCCCCUGUAGACAACCCCUUGGAGUCUCCCAGGUUGGGCAUCUUAAAUAGUUCUUGGGCUUCUGCAAAUAUUAAUCUGGCCACUACUAAAUGUAGUAUCUGAGUUUGUUCCCCCUUCUUAGGUACCUCCUGGAGCUCCAUUUCUACAUUAUCUGAGUGCAUCCCAAACUUGCAUGGUUUUAAUCUCAGAACAUCUUCAUGAGACAGGAGUCUGCUAUUAACUCCAUUAAAGAUAUGAGGAUCCAAAACACUACAGAGCCUGGGUAAUGCUAUGGCUAAUAAUGACUUGAAUUAUGUGUGCUCAGUGGCCUGAUGCUUCAUGACCUGCCUCAGAGCAGUCGCUCAUGAUCCAAAGAGGCCAGAAGGAAAUGUCGUGCCAUGCAUCUGCACCAUAUCUAAGUGCACCUACAUAUUUUAUCUUCUUCUGAAGCAUCGGGUAGCAGGCACUCCUGCAGGUUGUUCAGAGGGUUUGAAGGGCUCAGACAUCUCAGUGAUGCAACCCAUAUAAAUGUCCUGAUAGGAAGAUCUAAUCUAGCAGAUGGGAUGCUUUUGAGAGGCUAGAGGGAGUGCACUGUAAAGUAUGAACCUGUGCCAGCUGCUCUUUCUUACCAUAUUGUCUUCCGGCUGUUUGGCUUUUCUUUAAAAAGAACCUGUUCUACAAGGAGCAUUUUUCAAUGCAAGUUGCCUAGGACCUGCUGUGAUGUUCCCUGCUGCAUUUUGGAAGUGGUGCAUUGAUUAUUUUGCUCAAAAGCAUGUUCCAUUAAUGAGGUUAUUUAACAGGGGGAAAUAUGCAGUAAAAUGAAAGGAAUGCUUCUUGCUAAUGGCUGGUGUGAGGGAUAUAGCAUCAUGCCUCGCUAUCCGCAAACUAUUUUAGUGCACUUAGUCCAUUCCUGCCAGGGAUAUAAAGAGAUCUGGGAUUUCCUGGCAUGUUCAUCAGGGGGCAAUAAAGAGAGACCCCAAGAAUGAAAAGCAGAAUGCAGUCCUGUCUGUGGGAAAGGCAAAAUUCUCCUCCCCAAUGCACACAGGCAAUCCUGUCCCCCGCCGCUUGCUGGGGAGAAUAUUAGGGUUAAGGCAAAUGAAGAACAAACCUUAGAGGUUUCAGAAUUCCCUCUCCAAAAGUUCAGAUGCCUCGCAGGAUGCUGAUCUGGCCUUGCCAAGCCUCCAAGUGUGCAAAACCAGGCUGGAAACCUAAGAACUGGCUGUCGCACAAGAUUUGUGACACAUGAAACACAGCCUCUCUCCCAAUGGAUCCAAACAAGAAGGUCCUGUUCAGUUCCCAUCCUGAAGACAAAGGAAGGCACAUGACAGGCUUGGGUGGUGUCUUGUUCUAGCUGGACACAGUCAGCUUGCUUUACCAGCACUCUGCCCUACGCAUCUUAAGGCUGAAUUUUGGCUGAUCUUUUUAAAGCUGACGAGGGGAUUUUUCAGUGCAUGCCCAUCAAUGCUUUUUUUAAUGUGGGUCGUGUUUCUGAUUUAGCGCAGAGGGAUCUUUGCAAAUCCAUUUCUAACACAAGGUUCUCAAAGCCCGGCUUAUAUUGAGUUAAGCUGCAUCCUAUCCCCUGUUUGGAGGGUCAGUAUUAGACUCAUUUUACUACCUGGGGAAACUGAGGCCCAGGCUAUUGCAGGGCUGCUGUUCAGCGGUGGGGAGUAUCUGCAGCUCCCCUUGUCUUUGAUGGGAGUUGCAAGUGGUGCAUAGCUCUGGACACAAGACUAUCCUGAACAGUAGAGCCAGUGGUUGGCACUGAAAUGAAAUAGUAGCUAGAUGCCCUGACUUUUGGGCCUGUUCUGUAAGCACCAAACCAAGGGGGUUGACUGGCAAGGAUUCCCUGGUGCACGUGUUUUCUAUACACACAGGAAAUCCAUGUAGACAUCAUGCUUUCCCUGCCUACCUGGCUAACAGCAUCGCACUCUGCUCACAUUUUGGCUUCAGAAGGACUCCAGUGCAGCUAAUAAACAGAGCUUGGCCUCCUUUUUCCUCUUGCAAUAAAGCUCUAAGCUUUGCAAUAAAUUUGUCAGCUUUGUAAUGGCUA